ACGCGCGCCAUCAUUAGCGGUCUGAUAUCGCUCGACCUCCACCUGCUGCUUUCGGCGUUGGGAUGACCGGUCGAUGAUCUAAACAGGCUGUCCUGCGUGUUUGGGGAGGUGGGCGGCGUUGGACUGGAUUCAGAGAUUUGCUGGAUGGAGGCAGGGGAGGGUUGAACUGACCGCUCCGCUCAUGUGACAGUCUGAUAGCGUGCGGGAAGCAUGUGCGCUUUGCGCGUUUCGCUUGGACCGGUGACGCGGCGGCUUUGAUGAGCCGGUUCUGCUGGAAGGAGGAGGUUUCGGACUAGUCCCCAUAUAGAGAACCAUGAGCACUGUGGAGGAGGAGCCGGACCACAUGAUACCAUGAAGAGAAGCCUGCAGGUCCUGCCCCACCAGCUGCUGAAACACUUGCAGAAUAUUAGUAUUGGCGACACACUCUUGAUAGCAGUCUGGCUGAGAUCCAACAUUAAAGUGUGAAAUGUAUCAGGAACAUGAGGUCGGAUAGAAAAGGCUUCCUCCGUUGUAAAACAA